rnacentral:lncRNA from 1 species
CAAGGGAGAAUCUCUCUUCCAAACCUUUCAUCUGUGUGAUUAAAAGUUUUUAAGAGAAGCCUUCAGAAAAAAUUCUUGAGUUUGUGAGCUUUGUAUGGCUGCAUCUAAGAGCCAAAUUUCUUGUUGAGAGUGUGUUUUGAUUUUAAGUGCUGCUAUAAGUUUUAAAUUGAACUGUGUGCUAACUGUUUACUUGUGCAGCAUCACAUAAUCUGUUGGCAAAGCAAACUGCUACUGCAAUCACUCCANUUUAGUUUGACUACUGCAUAAUAUUCUGCACUGACUUGUUUGGGAAUUCUAUUAAAUAGUUGCAACAGUUUUGGGAGUUGGCCAAUGAAUCUGAAGGAGAUUGAGCAAGAGUUUACUGAGAAAACANCAGCCUAAUCACUUCAUAUUGGAGUUGAACUGAAGGGAGUCUUUANNUUCAGUGCCUUUGUUUUCUUUCAGUGCAUUGUUCCUGUUAUUGUUUGGCAUUGAUUAGCAUUAGGAGAAGUAUUGAAUUAGUGUUGAAUUCUUGGUGCAGCAGAUUUCAAUUUGCAAGGACAGGAAAUUCCUGCAGCUUCACCAAGUGCUGAGACCGAGAGCUUCCAGGGANAUUCGUUGUGCAGAUUGGAACUUAUUGGCAUUACCAUAAUAGCAUAAGCAUUCCCGUGUGCAGUUUUGUAUUGAAGAUUACAAAUUGAGUGCGAAUAGGAUUCCUGCUCUACGUCAAUUGUGCAACACCGAGAAAGGGAGAAUUCUUUAUCUUGUGCAUUCUAUUUUGUAAUCUGUUAGGAAAAAGUCACNUAACCAGGUUUGUGUAUCUGAUUUGGCAGAAUUAAAAUAGUCCAGAAAACCAAGGGCAUUGAAUCCAGAAGCUUGAUGCCGUCAGGAAAGCAAGAUCUGGGCACGUGUUUGUCUACAAGACNGUAGCUUAGGAUUGAAUGUUUUGUAAUUUUUUAUUUUUUCUGUGUAUUUGAUGGGCUUGUGUCAGCCCAAUGUCUUUGUUAGUUUUAUUUUCUGGUUUGUAAAGGGCCUUUUAUAAAGUCCAAGUAUUUGGAAGAGUCCUUGGUGCUCUUUCCAGAUCUUGGCAACUUUAAUUGCUUUAAUUGUAGCAUAGCUAGACAUAGGAGUAUGCAUGUGUUUGAUUUUCACGUGUAGGUGUGACCUUUGUCACAUUAGAGUCCGUACGUUUUUAGGGGUCUUAGAGUCCGUUUUCUUUGUUUGUUUCUUU